rnacentral:lncRNA from 1 species
AGAGUACUUUGAGUUUGAAUUAUUCAGCUCAGCUGUUGACCAAACUCAACCGGAUAAUUAUACAAGUCUUCCUUUGUCUAGUCCUAUAUUGGCCUAAGUUUUAGGUUUGGGACAUAAAAUGUUGGUACUGGGAAAGAUACUAAACAAUCGAGCCCACCUCAUUAUUUUACAGCAGGCUGCCUGCAGCUUUUCUGGCUCUUCUGAGGAAAAACCUUCAAAGCUAAGAAUGGUUUGCUAGUGUGCCGACAGCUGGUGUUUAACGCCAUCAAUCAAAUGGGUUUCGACACCACCGCUGAUGGCUUGUCCCCCAACCACCACCCUGCAGCCUCUUCCACUGGGUUCUUCUGAGGAAAAGUUUAGAUUUGUGAAAAUCACUCAUAAUUAUUUAACUGGGUCAGCAGCUGAGCUCGUUGCAAAACAUGCGUCUGGAUAGGAAACGUGGGUAUAAACUGCCAGACUUUAAAGAAUUUUUAAAAACAAUGUAUAUGGUAAAUGUGGAAGAGUAGGAUUAUUCCCUUUGAAAGCUGCAGUGCCAGCCAGAUUCUUCUCCAGAUCCCGUUCCUGCUCUGCUCUCAGAUGACGCAAUUCCUCUCUCCACUGGAGUGCAUUAUGUUCUCCUUAAAGACUCCAGCUAAUGGAAUGCUGAGAAAAUCAAUCCCUUCUUAUUAUGCAGGCCUGCUAUUUGGUAAAUGGAAAGCAAAUUCUUUCUUCUUCUAAGUAGGCAGAAAUAAGCCCUGGGGGACACCUUGAUUUUAUCCUCCACAUGUCCUGAAUGAGAGUCCAACACACUAUAUCUGUGCGUAAGAUGUAUUUAAUUCAAAAAGACCAGGUCUGGAGUUCCUGUCUUGACGCAACAGAAACGAAUCCAACUACGAACCAUGAGGUUGCGGGUUCGAUCCCUGGCCUCUCUCAGUGGGUUAAGGAUCCCACAUUGCUGGGAACUGUAGUGUAGGUUGCAGAUGUAGCUCUAAUCUGGCGUUGUUGUGGCUGUAGUGUAGGCCGGCAACAACAGCUCCAAAGAGACCCCUAGCCUGGGAACUUCCAUGUGCCAUGGGUGCAGCCCUAAAAAGACAAAAAAAAAAAAAGCCCAGGUCCAUAUCCACUCACAACUCAAUGGAGAGACAACUCUCUUGCUCUCUCCCACUCUCCCCUCCCCUUUCUUCUCUGAAGAGGACACAUAUCAUGUAGUGCUUUUCUAAGAGAUAUAUUGCCAUCUAACAUCCACAACAAUACCUACCACUUAUUAGGCAUUUAUUAGGUGCCAGCUAUCAUUUUUUUCACAAUUUCUUAAGGUAGACUGUAUUUUUAUCCCUAUUCUACUGUUGAGCAAACUAGGUGAGAUCAGUGGACCAAGGUCACUGUGGAGCAGAGUGUGGUUUUAAACCCAGCUCUCUUUGACUCUACACCUAGGGCCACAAAACACUGUUCCAUGCUGGAGGUCAAGUCUCAGGACAGAACCAAGUGAAAGCUGUGGCCCAUUCCAGGCUUACCAUAAAAAUCGUUGCCAAGAGUAAGAAUGUACUGCCUUGCAAGAAGGUAAUAAGCCCCUGGCGUUGAAAGUAUUCCAAGAGAAAUGGGAAGAACACUUCCUAAGGUAGGCUUCCCAGGACAGCUGGCUUCUUGUUCAGGGAAGAAUAACUGAUCAAAUCUGCUGCUUCCCAGAGCUGGUUGUUCACCAGGGAAACAGACAACAUAUUUUUGGUAAGAAAGCAGAUUUGGGGAGUUCCCAUGAUGGCUCAGUGGUAGCGAACCUGACUAGUAUCCAUAAGGCCUAGCUCAGUAAGUUAAGGAUCUGAUGUUACCAUGAGCUGUGGUGUAGGUGGCAGAGGAGGCUAGGAUCCCAGGUUGCUGUGGCUGUGGCGUAGGCCAGCAGCUAUAGCUCCAACACAGUCCCUAGCCUGGGAACCUCCAUAUGCCUGGAAUGCAGCCCUAAGAAGCCAAAAAUAAAUAAAUAAAUAAAUAACAUUUCAAAAAAGUCACUUUGAGCCUGAGCUAAUGAUGAUUCUUUUCUUUUUUCAUAUUAUUAUUGUUUUUAAUAGCAACAUCAACAUUAGAGCACUAAAUGCACAGCAAAGUUGAUAUAGGUGCUGCAUUUACAAUGUCUUCCAAGUAUUUCCAAAUAGAUUUGAAAUACAGAAACAACUUUUAAAAAUCUGGAAUAAAAGUUCAGCUGUAUAGAAAUCACAUACCCCCACCCCACCCCAAUAUAUCAUGUCAUUUCUAUUUAUUGACAUGAUUAUGAUAUGCAUUUUUAAAAAAGCACAACAAUUGGAGUUCCCGUUGUAGCUCAGCGGGUUAAGAGCCCAAUACAGUGUCCAGGAGGAUUUGGGGUUGAUCUCUGGCCUCAAUCAGUGGGUUAAGGAUUGGUCAUUGCCACAAGCUAUGGCAUAGGUCACAGGUGUGUCUGGGAUCCAGUGUUGCUGUAGCUGUGGCAUAGGCCAGCAGCUGCAGCUCCAAUUCUACCCCUAGCCUGGGAACUUGUUAAUGCUGCAGGUGCAGCCCUAAAAAGGAAACAAACAAACAAACAAUAUACUAUAAACUAUAAUAGUUUGCACCUUGGUUUGAAAUCUGUUAUCUUUACCAGUAUAGUCUGGGUCCAAGUCCUGAGACAGCUUCUCUCUCAACUCCACUGCCUGUACACCAUCCUGUCUGCACCCCAUCUCCCCAGGAGACAUAGUGGCUUCUCAUUCUCUCCCUGCUACCAGGUUCCUACAUCUCGCCAUCCCUCCUCAAUUCAGGGAUGUUCAUUACUCCUCCUCCAGGACCUACCUCCAAGCUCAAGUCCCUUGUUAGUCUGUAAUAGACCCAUCUCUCAUGAUCUCAUCUUCCUCAGAAUUCCUCUGCCCUUAAUGAUCUGCCAUUUGGGAGAAGGUAAUAGGUAAGAAAACAAUGCAAAUUUUAGAAAGGCAAACAGAUGGGAUUCAAAUCCCAGCUGAGUCACUUUCCAGUAUGUGAUCUCAGACUCAUCCACUCUGGGCCUAGUUUCUUCAUAUUAAAAUUUUUUUAAAGAUUAAAAAAAAUGUUCAGUAUACCUCAUAAAUCACUGUAAGCAUCCUAAGUUAAUGUUUACAGAAUGACCAUCAUUAAAAAAAUUUACAGGGAGUUCCCGUCGUGCUCAGUAGUUAACGAACCCAACUAGUAUCCAUGAGGAUGCGGGUUUGAUCCUGGCCUUGCUCAGUGGGUUAAGGAUCCAGUGUUGCCAUGAGCUGUGGUGUUGGUUGCAGACACGGCUCAGAUCCCAUGUUGCUAUGGCUGUGGCAUAGGCCAGUGGCUACAGCUCUGAUUUGACCCCUAGCCUGGGAACUUCCAUAUGCCAUGGGUGCAGCCCUAAAAAGAUAAAAGACAAAUAUAUGUGUGUGUGGGUGUGUGUGUGUGUGUGUGUGUGUGUGUAUACACACAAAUAACAAGUGCUGCAGAAGGUGUGGAGGAAAGGGAACCCUCCUAAUUGUUGGUGGGAAUGUAAAUUGGUGCAGUCACUAUAGAAAAUAGCAUGGAGGUUCCUCAAAAAACUGAAAAUAGAGAUACCAUAUGAUCUGGCAAUCCCACUCCUGGGUGUAUACCUGGACAUAACUAUAAUUUGAAAAUAUACAUGUACCCAGUGUUCAUACAGCACUAUUCACAGUAGCCAAGACAUGGAAACAACUUAAAUGUCCACCAACCAAUGAAUGGAGAAAGAAGAUGUGGCACGUAUAUACCAUGGAAUACAAUUCAGCCAUAAAAAGAAUGAAGUAACGCCAUCUGUAGCAGCAUGAGUGGACCUAGAGAUCAUCAUACUAAGUGAAGUUCAGAAACAGAAAGACAAAUGCUAGAUGAUACCACUUAUCUGUGGAUUCUAAAAUGUAAUACAAAGCAACUUAUCUAUGAAACAGAAACAGACUUAUAGACAUAGAGAACAAACUUGUGGUUGCCAAGGGAGUGGGGUAGGGAGAGAAAGACUGCGAAUUUGGGAUUGACAAAUGCAAAGUAUUAUAUCUGUGAUGGAUAAACAAUAAGGUCCUACUGUAUAGCACAGGGAACUAUAUUCAAUCUCCUGUGAUAAACCAUAAUGGAAAAGAAUGUGAAAAAUAAUGUAUAUGUAUGGAUAACUGAAUCACUGUACUAUACAAAAGAAAUGAACACAACAUUGUAAAUCAACUAUAUUUCAAUAAAAUAA